GACGAACGCUGGCGGCGUGCUUAACACAUGCAAGUCGAACGGAAAGGCCCUGCUUGCAGGGUACUCGAGUGGCGAACGGGUGAGUAACACGUGGGUGAUCUGCCCUGCACUUCGGGAUAAGCCUGGGAAACUGGGUCUAAUACCGGAUAGGAGCCAUUUUUAGUGUGAUGGUUGGAAAGUUUUUUCGGUGUAGGAUGAGCUCGCGGCCUAUCAGCUUGUUGGUGGGGUAAUGGCCUACCAAGGCGGCGACGGGUAGCCGGCCUGAGAGGGUGGACGGCCACAUUGGGACUGAGAUACGGCACAGACACCUACGGGAGGCAGCAGUGGGGAAUAUUGCACAAUGGGCGCAAGCCUGAUGCAGCGACGCCGCGUGGGGGAUGACGGCCUUCGGGUUGUAAACUCCUUUCGCUAGGGACGAAGCUUUUUGUGACGGUACCUAGAUAAGAAGCACCGGCUAACUACGUG
rnacentral:rRNA from 1 species